ensembl:lncRNA
CUGGUGGCUGGAUUGGCACGGCACGGCCCGGGGUGGCGCAAGAGGGGGUGAGCCCAGGGGACCAUGGGGCUGCCCUGGACCCCACAGCCAUCAUCUCUAACGGUGGCCGAACCUACCACUACUCCAAGUGUCCGUCCUCUGAGGGAAGCCAUCUUAGUAACAACAACAAUGAGACUCUCACAAAGACAGUCACAGAGAGAUAGCUGAAAGGAGUAAAAAGGCUUUGAAGUCAUGACAAGUCUGUUGUUAGCAUCACAGAGAAAGGUGAAGAAGUCCCCCCCAAGGUGUUCUCUCCACUGUGACCUGGGACAUCCUUUCAUUUGCCUCAAAUGACUUCUUUCCAGCUUCACGGAGCUACCUGAGUCAGCACCUGCAGCUCCACCACCAUCCUCACGGUCACUGUCUUCAUUGCCUCUGGGCUGGACCAGCCCCUGCCUGUGAGCUCCCUGGAGCCAGAGGUGCAAAGUCUGCAAAGACACAAAGAGCCAGCACGCGGGGAGGGGCUCUGGAGACCAUCUCAUCGUUCGUUCAUUUGUCUAUUCAAUCCGUGUUAUUGACCGCUCACUGUGUGCCACACAUGGGCCCUGGAGAUACAGAACAGACAGAAGACACACCCAGCUUCCUAGAGCUCUGAAGCAGCAUUUGAUCGCGUGGAGCUGGGGAAACUCGAGCUUCUGGCUGAUAAGGAAUCGGGAGGAGAGGCCGAGAGGGCAUUCCUGGGGUGCUUGGCUUCAGCUACCCUUCUGCCAGGGCUUCCCGCCCCAAUAGAAUCCUAGCCCGGCCCCUGCCUGCUUUUCUCCCAGGUGAACUGGGAGGGCUGCCCCAGAGGAAUUCAGGAGAUUCCCUCUCUUGUAGCCUGGAGAAAUAAUAAAAAUAAUAGCAGGCAGGGCGCAGUGGCUCAAGCCUGUAAUCUCAGCACUUUGGGAGGUCGAGGUGGGUGGAUCACCUGAAGUCGGGAGUUCGAGACCAGCCUGACCAACAUAGAGAAACCCCAUCUCUACUAAAAACACAAAAUUAAUCUGGCAUGGUGGUGCAUGCUUGUAAUCCCAGCUACUCGGGAGGCUGAGGCAGGAGAAUCGCUUGAACUCAGGAGGUGGAGGUUGUGGUUAGCCGAGAUAGCCCCAUUGCACUCCAGCCUGGGCAACAAGAGCGAAACUGUCUCAAAAUAAAUAAAUAAAUAAAUAAAUAAAUAAUAGCAAAUAUUUUUAAGGGUGCAGCUCAGAACGGUUCCUGGAGAGGAACUGUUGAUGGAAUGGGUAGGCUCUUCAGCACCACAGGCUCAAGCUUCCCACAGCUCCCAGCUUCCAUCAGCUCCCAGCUUCCAUCACCUACACCCUUGUUCCCCCAAGUCAGGGCUCUACUCCUGAUCUGACUCGAGUUUUUCCUUUCCCCAGUUUCCCCGCCCUUCCAUGAGCUCCCCCUGCCAAUCCCCACCACAUGCCGUUGGUUCCUCAAGGAUAACUACUGGAGCCUCCCCUCUUCCCUGGACAGUCCCUUCACCUUCCUGCUCUGUAACUUGCCAGCUCCCUUCCUUCCAGGAUCCUGUGUUCCCAUUCUAGUACCUUCAAAGUAAUCUGUUUUGUUGUUGCUGCUGUUGUUGGAAAUAGGGUCACCCAGGCUGGAGUGCAGUGGUGCAAUCAUAGCUCUCUGCAGGCUCUACUCAGCCUCUUGGGCUCAAGCAAUCCUCCCGCCUCUUUCUCCUGAGUAGCUGGGACUAUAGGACAGUGCCACCACGAGGGCCAAGGGAAGCUGUUUUUAAUUUUCUCACAUACCCUGUAGAUCAGGGUCUGCGAGGUCAGUCCACUCUCUUGCAAUCCAUUUUAUUUUUUUUCACUCUAUCACCCAGGUUAGAGUGCAGUGGCCCAAUCUCGGCUCACUGCAAUUCCCACCCCGCUAAUGCCUCACUCUCCGGCUUAACUCCCACCUCAGCCUCCCAAGUAGCUGGGACCACCGAU